GAUGAACGCUGACAGAAUGCUUAACACAUGCAAGUCGAUGGGGAAGUGGUGCUUGCACCAUGGUAACCAUGGCGGACGGGUGAGUAACGCGUAAGGAACUUACCUGCGGGACCGGGAUAACAGCAGGAAACUGCUGACAAGACCGGAUAAGGUCAUUAAGCUGCAUAGCUUAGUGAUGAAAGGAGACGCCUGCGGAGAGCCUUGCGUCCUAUUAGCUAGUUGGAGGGGUAACGGCCCACCAAGGCGAAGAUAGGUAGCCGGCCUGAGAGGGUGGACGGCCACAAGGGGACUGAGAUACGGCCCUUACUCCUACGGGAGGCAGCAGUGGGGAAUAUUGGACAAUGGGGGCAACCCUGAUCCAGCAAUUCUGUGUGCACGAAGACGGUUUUCGGAUUGUAAAGUGCUUUCAGCAGGGAGGAAGGAAGUGACGGUACCUGCAGAAGAAGCGACGGCUAAAUACGUG
rnacentral:rRNA from 1 species